GGUUUCGUGGUGUAGUUGGUUAUCAUGUUAGUCUAACACACGAAGGUCUCCAGUUCGAGUCUGGGCGAAGCCA